rnacentral:tRNA from 1 species
AAAAUAUAGUAUAAAUAAAUACACUUCAUUUACACUGAAGAUAUACUUUAAAUAAAGUUGUUUU